rnacentral:rRNA from 1 species
UGCCAGCAGCCGCGGUAAUACGGGGGGAGCAAACGUUGUUCGGAAUCACUGGGCGUAAAGGGCACGCAGGCGGCCAGAUUAGUGGAAUGUGAAAUGCCCUGGCUUAACCAGGGAACUGCAUUCCAUACUGUUUGGCUUGAGUAUAGGAGAGGAUGGGGGAAUUCCCGGUGUAGCGGUGGAAUGCAUUGAUAUCGGGAGGAAUACCAGUGGCGAAGGCGCCCAUCUGGCCUAAUACUGACGCUCAGGUGCGAAAGCUGGGGGAGCAAACAGGAUUAGAUA